CAUCUUCUUUUUUUCCUGUGACCUUUAUAAGGGUUUGCUUUGUUUUCCAGUAUUUCUGUUGCAUUUUAUUAACCACAGAUUUUUCUUGGCUUUGAGCAUAUUGAUCAUAAAAUUCCCUUGGAUAAUUGUACUUAUGACCAUCCAUUUUUCUUAUUUUCUUCAGACACUUGCUCGGGGCCGAGGAGCGGAGGGCAGGGCAGGGCCGAGCCGGAG
rnacentral:lncRNA from 1 species